rnacentral:ncRNA from 2 species
CGGGCGUUCGCGGGAGAGUGAGGCAGGGCCCGCUCAAAUCGUAGGCGGCGCAAGCCGACGGUUCGAUUUGAGCAACAAGGACCCGGCUUCCGCCGAAGGAGCAACCGCCCCGGAAUCUCUCAGGUCAAAGGACCGCGACCGCCUG